rnacentral:rRNA from 1 species
UACGGGGGGGGCAAGCGUUGUUCGGAUUUACUGGGCGUAAAGGGCGCGUAGGCGGCCAGCACAAGUCAGUUGUGAAAUCUCCGAGCUUAACUCGGAAAGGUCAACUGAUACUGUGCGGCUAGAGUGCGGAAGGGGCAACUGGAAUUCCUGGUGUAGCGGUGGAAUGCGCAGAUAUCAGGAGGAACACCGAUGGCGAAGGCAGGUCUCUGGGCCACUACUGACGCUGAGAAGCGAAAGCAUGGGGAGCGAACAGG